GAUGAACGCUGGCGGCGUGCUUAACACAUGCAAGUCGAACGGUGAAGCAGAGCUUGCUCUGUGGAUCAGUGGCGAACGGGUGAGUAACACGUGAGCAACCUGCCCCUGACUCUGGGAUAAGCGCUGGAAACGGCGUCUAAUAUUGGAUAUGAGCUGCGACCGCAUGGUCAGCAGUUGGAAAGAUUUUUCGGUCUGGGAUAGGCUCACGGCCUAUCAGCUUGUUGGUGAGGUAAUGGCUCACCAAGGCGUCGACGGGUAGCCGGCCUGAGAGGGUGACCGGCCACACUGGGACUGAGACACGGCCCAGACUCCUACGGGAGGCAGCAGUGGGGAAUAUUGCACAAUGGGCGAAAGCCUGAUGCAGCAACGCCGCGUGAGGGAUGACGGCCUUCGGGUUGUAAACCUCUUUUAGCAGGGAAGAAGCGAAAGUGACGGUACCUGCAGAAAAAGCGCCGGCUAACUACGUG
rnacentral:rRNA from 1 species